rnacentral:rRNA from 1 species
UCUUCCGCAAUGGACGAAAGUCUGACGGAGCGCCGCCGCGUGAGCGAUGAAGGUCUUCGGCUUGUAAAGUUCUGUUGUUAGGGAAGAACAAGUAUAGGAGUCACUGCCGGUACCUUGACUGUACCUUACGAGAAAGCCACGUCUAACUACGUGCCCGCUGCCGCGGUAAUACGUAGGUGUCAAGCGUUGUACGGAUUUAUUGGGCGUAAAGCGCGCGCAGGCGGUCUUUUAAGUCUGAUGUGAAAUCUUACAGCUUAACUGUAAGCGGUCAUUGGAAACUGGGAGACUUGAGUGCAGAAGAGGAGAGUGGAAUUCCAUGUGUAGCGGUGAAAUGCGUAGAGAUAUGGAGGAACACCAGUGGCGAAGGCGACUCUCUGGUCUGUAACUGACGCUGAGGCGCGAAAGCGUGGGGAUCAAACA